AUAAAGUUUUAUUUUAGCUUAAAAAAUUUAUUAUUAAUUUAUAUUAUAUGUAAAUUUUUGUAUGAAUUUAUAUUUAUUUUAAAAAUAAUUAUAUUAUAAAAUAUUUAUUUGCAAUAAUUAAUAUUAUUAAUUAAAGAAAUUUAGAAAUAGAAAUAUUAAUUUAAUAUUGACUUAAUUUGUGCCAGCAGUUGCGGUUAUACAAAUAAUAUAAAUAAAUUUUAUUAAUAUUAGUUAAAUUGAUUUAAUUAAAAUAUAAAUAAAUUUAUUAAGUGAAAUUUUAAAUUUAUAAUAUUUUUAUUAUACAAAUAUAUUGAAGCUAGAAAUUUUUAAUUAAAAACUAGGAUUAGAUACCCUAUUAUUUAAAAUGUAAUUUAAUUUAUUUGAGUAGUAUUAGUUAUAUUCUUGAAACUUAAAAAAUUUGGCGGUAUUUUAGUCUAUUCAGAGGAACUUGUUUUUUAAUCGAUAAUCCACGAUGUACCUUACUUAAAAUUGUAAAUCAAUUUAUAUAUCGUUGUUAUUAGAAUAUUUUAUAAGAAUAAUAAUUUUCUAUAAUUUUUAUUAAAAUUAAUAUCAAAUCAAGGUGUAGUUUAUUUUUAAGUAUAAAUGAGUUACAAUAAAUUUUAUUUAUGGAUUUAAUUAUGAAAAAUUUAAUGAAAUUGGAUUUGAUAGUAAAAUUAUAAAGAUAAAUAAUUUGAUUUUAGCUCUAAAAUAUGUACAUAUCGCCCGUCACUCUUGUUAUUAAAAUAAGAUAAGUCGUAACAUAGUAGAUGUACUGGAAAGUGUAUCUAGAAUCAA
rnacentral:ncRNA from 1 species